CCUCGCAGCCCGCGGGAGCAGCGGGGAUGGAGCCGGGACAGGGAGCAACUGGGGUCACACUUUUGGCUACUGGGAGCAACUGAGAGCAACUGGGAUCAUGCUGCAAGCAAACUGGAGUAACUGGGAAGGACUGGACGCAUGCUGGAGGCACCUGGGAUAUACUGGGUGUGACUGGAUUUCCCACUCCCAAACC